rnacentral:rRNA from 1 species
GACGAACGCUGGCGGCGUGCUUAACACAUGCAAGUCGAACGGUAAGGCCCUUCGGGGUACACGAGUGGCGAACGGGUGAGUAACACGUGGGUGAUCUGCCCUGCACUUCGGGAUAAGCCUGGGAAACUGGGUCUAAUACCGGAUAGGACCACUGCCUGCAUGGGUGGUGGUGGAAAGCUUUUGCGGUGUGGGAUGGGCCCGCGGCCUAUCAGCUUGUAGGUGGGGUGAUGGCCUACCAAGGCGACGACGGGUAGCCGGCCUGAGAGGGGGACCGGCCACACUGGACUGGGAUACGGCCCAGACUCCUACGGGAGGCAGCAGUGGGGAAUAUUGCACAAUGGGCGCAAGCCUGAUGCAGCGACGCCGCGUGAGGGAUGACGGCCUUCGGGUUGUAAACCUCUUUCAGCACCGACGAAGCGCAAGUGACGGUAGGUGCAGAAGAAGGACCGGCCAACUACGUGCCAGCCGCCGCCGUAA